AGCAUGUGCGGAUGUAUUUUUUGAACCAGAGGACAAGACUUAAAGACAGGUGUGAAAAUAAAUCCUCUUUUGCAAUGUAGAACUCAUUGUUCAGUCUGAGUUUUGAUGCAUGUAGGAAGGGAUAUG
ensembl:snoRNA